GAUGUGAGCUGUCUGCUGUUUAUUCCAGCUUCCACCUCAGUGACAGUGCAAGCUCAGUGAACUGUUCAAGGUAAAAAAAAUUAAAACAUUUCAGAAUUUUUAAGAUAUUAACAAUUAAAUAAGUAUGUGAUUACAUCAUGAAGGAGGCUACUGAUUCUGGCCCUGUGACACUUGGUGGUGACGUGUGAGCUGAUUCACCUGGACACUCAGCAAAAUAUGGACUCUACACCAUGAGGCAGGCACAAGUUAAUACUUAUAAGAGCACAUAAGCAUGAGGAUGUCCUCACACACCUGUAACCUAUCAGCUCAUCUGGCAGAAUAGAGAGAGAAGAGACAACACCACAUCUCCUGUUCCUGGAAAGCCUUCAGCCAUCCUUCGAUGACUGAGAACCUCCAUCAGCUCUGUCUCCUGUCUGCCUACAAUUAUUAUAAUAAAUAUUGUGUUUGACAAGUUUUUUGUGCUGCCAAAUAUCUCAUUUUGAUUCCAGUUUUGAUAUUUUAAUGGAUAUUUAUAAAUUACAUUAAUUGAAUUAUCACAUUGUCGCAUGUUUAACUAGCUCUAUUGUGAUGAAUU